rnacentral:rRNA from 1 species
AACGAACGCUGGCGGCAUGCCUAACACAUGCAAGUCGAACGAGACCUUCGGGUCUAGUGGCGCACGGGUGCGUAACGCGUGGGAACCUGCCCUUAGGUUCGGAAUAACUCCCCGAAAGGGGUGCUAAUACCAGAUAAUGUCUUCGGACCAAAGAUUUAUCGCCUUUGGAUGGGCCCGCGUUGGAUUAGCUAGUUGGUAGGGUAAAAGCCUACCAAGGCGACGAUCCAUAGCUGGUCUGAGAGGAUGAUCAGCCACACUGGGACUGAGACACGGCCCAGACUCCUACGGGAGGCAGCAGUGGGGAAUAUUGGAAAAUGGGCGAAAGCCUGAUCCAGCAAUGCCGCGUGAGUGAUGAAGGCCUUAGGGUUGUAAAGCUCUUUUACCCGGGAUGAUAAUGACAGUACCGGGAGAAUAAGCUCCGGCUAACUCCGUG